rnacentral:rRNA from 1 species
CGGGGGGCAGCAGUGGGGAAUAUUGCGCAAUGGGCGAAAGCCUGACGCAGCGACGCCGCGUGGAGGAUGAAGGUCUUUGGAUUGUAAACUUCUGUUAAGUGGAAAGAAAGACCUCUGGUUAAUACCCAGGGGGGAUGACGGUACCGCUAGAGAAAGCACCGGCUAACUUUGUGCCAGCAGCCGCGGUAAUACAAAGGGUGCAAGCGUUAUUCGGAAUAAUUGGGCGUAAAGAGCGUGUAGGCGGUUUUGUAAGUUGUUUGUUAAAUCCAGUGGCUUAACCAUUGAUGUGCAGACAAUACUGCUUGACUUGAGUGCGAGAGAGAGGGGUGGAAUUCUAGGAGUAGCGGUAAAAUGCGUAGAUCUCUAGAGGAACACCGAUGGCGAAGGCAGCCCCUUGGUUCGUAACUGACGCUGGAGCGCGAAAGCGUGGGGAGCAAACAGGAUUAGAUACCCCGGU